UACAGGGGGUGCAAGCGUUGCUCGGAAUCACUGGGCGUAAAGCGAACGCAGGCGGACCGUCAAGUCAGGGGUGAAAGCCCGAGGCUCAACCUCGGAAAUGCCUUUGAAACUGGCGAUCUUGAGUACGGGAGAGGUGAGUGGAAUUCCUGGUGUAGAGGUGAAAUUCGUAGAUAUCAGGAGGAACACCGGUGGCGAAAGCGGCUCACUGGCCCGAUACUGACGCUCAUGUUCGAAAGUGUGGGGAGCAAACAGG
rnacentral:rRNA from 1 species